rnacentral:lncRNA from 1 species
AUUGCAGUUUGAUAAGACUAAACAUAUAAUUCUGGAUAUUAUCUUCAUUAGUCUGGAUACAUCAGACAUUUCUUCAGUUCUCUGACAGUAUCAUUUCCAAGAAGAAUAUUUUGCUUUCCUAAUGAUUGUUAUUAAUAAAACAGGUAAGAACACCCCUAUAUGUCCCAUUCAUUCAGGGCCCACCAGAGAAAAAGCAGGACCCAGUAUAAAGUUGUUGUGUGGGACCUUUUAAUAAUAAUAAAGACAGUUUUGAACAAGAGUUGGAUGAUGCAGGAAUGUAGUUUGGCACAAGGCUCCACAAUCCUGCAUCAUCCAACCUAUACUUCCUUCCAACUGACCUUGCAUUCACCUAUACUUAAAUUAUUAGUCAAUCUGACUUUAUGAAGAGUUGCCUUACAUUAUCUAAGCUUGUCAAAUUGUUUGUCUAAACAAGGAACCUGCCUUAAUGAGGCAGCAUUAUUGGAUAGACAAAUAAUUUGGUUGAACCAAUAGUUUUCAUUGUGAGACAAGAAUUUUCUGUUGAAUUCGAACAACAGUUAACUCUAGAUACUAAAUUUGCUCUGAAUAUUCCCAAAAUUAGAUUUAAGUUCUUAUUUAUAAGAAGCCUAAUUUUUUGAAUGUUUAUUGCCUGAAAGAAUACCAUAGCAAUUAAAGCAAAUGUAUCUGAUCUGACUCAGAUAACUUGUUAAAUAUAUGUUAUUUUUCAGCUAUAUCAAAAAUAUUUGUAGUCAUAACAUUAGGUCAAUAAUCUCCUCCUGGUUUUGCCUGCAAAAAUUGCCUUCAUUUAAAACAAAAAGGUGCAAAAUUUCAGUAUUCAAAAUUGUUGAUAAUUAAUACUUUUCUGAUACAAGGCUAAAAUUAUAGUUUUGUAUAAAUUUCUUUAACCUAUUGAGGUUUGUUCAUAUGUGUACACACUGUGGAAGAAGUGGAAUAUGAUUUUAAAAAAAUUCAAUCCUGAUUUAAUAGUGCAGCUAUUGCAGGAUGUUUUUUGUGUGUGUUUAUUGGGUGAAAAUGUGUCCCUAUGAUGAUGGAUUUUAAAUUUUUUAUUGCCGAAAUUUGUUUUUAAAUAAUGGUUUAAAGAUAGAAAAUUUGAAUGGAUUAUAUCAGUAGAAUUUGGAUUAUUUUUCAUCAGAUUUUAUCAAUUCUGC